rnacentral:rRNA from 1 species
GGGGAAUAUUGCACAAUGGAGGAAACUCUGAUGCAGCAACGCCGCGUGAAGGAUGAAGGUUUUCGGAUUGUAAACUUCUUUGAUUGGGGACGAAAAAUGACGGUACCCAAGGAACAAGCCACGGCUAACUACGUGCCAGCAGCCGCGGUAAUACGUAGGUGGCGAGCGUUGUCCGGAAUUACUGGGUGUAAAGGGCGUGUAGGCGGGAAAGCAAGUCAGAUGUGAAAUUCCGAGGCUUAACUUCGGAGCUGCAUCUGAAACUGUUUUUCUUGAGUGCUGGAGAGGAAAGCGGAAUUCCUAGUGUAGCGGUGAAAUGCGUAGAUAUUAGGAGGAACACCAGUGGCGAAGGCGGCUUUCUGGACAGUAACUGACGCUGAGGCGCGAAAGCGUGGGGAGCAAAC